rnacentral:rRNA from 1 species
UACGUAGGGGGCGAGCGUUGUCCGGAUUUAUUGGGCGUAAAGAGCUCGUAGGCGGUUUGGUAAGUCGGGUGUGAAAUCUCCACGCUCAACGUGGAGGGGCCACUCGAUACUGCCAUGACUCGAGUCCGGUAGAGGAGUGUGGAAUUCCCGGUGUAGCGGUGAAAUGCGUAGAUAUCGGAAGGAACAUCAGUGGCGAAAGCGACUUCCUGGACCAAUACUGACGCUCAUGUGCGAAAGCGUGGGGAGCAAACAGG